rnacentral:rRNA from 1 species
AACGAACGCUGGCGGCAGGCCUAACACAUGCAAGUCGAACGCUCCGCAAGGGGAGUGGCGCACGGGUGAGUAACACGUGGGAACCUACCUUCUGGUACGGAACAACCAAGGGAAACUUUGGCUAAGACCGUAUACGACCUCCGGGUGAAAGAUUGAUCGCCGGAAGAGGGGCCCGCGUCCGAUUAGGUAGUUGGUGAGGUAACGACUCACCAAGCCUUCGAUCGGUAGCUGGUCUGAGAGGAUGACCAGCCACACUGGGACUGAGACACGGCCCAGACUCCUACGGGAGGCAGCAGUGGGGAAUAUUGGACAAUGGGCGCAAGCCUGAUCCAGCCAUGCCGCGUGAGUGAUGAAGGCCUUCGGUUGUUAAGG